GCGGUUUGAUCGGACUCAACGCCGGGAAACUCACCAGAUAAGACAGCUGAAUGAUAGUCGGGCUGAAGACUCUACUUGACUAGCUGAGAGGGGUGCAUGGCCGUCGUCAGUUCGUACUGUGAAGCAUCCUGUUAAGUCAGGCAACGAGCGAGACCCACGCCAACAGUUGCCAGCUCGUCCUCCGGGAUGGUGGGGACACUGUUGGGACCGCUCUGCUAAAGAGGAGGAAGGAAUGGGCAACGGUAGGUCAGCAUGCCCCGAAUUAUCUGGGCUACACGCGGGCUACAAUGGGUGGGACAAUGGGUAUCGACACCGAAAGGUGAAGGCAAUCUCCUAAACCCAUCCGUAGUUCGGAUUGUGGGCUGCAACUCGCCCACAUGAAGCUGGAAUCUGUAGUAAUCGUGUCUCAAAAUGGCACGGUGAAUAUGUCCCUGCUCCUU
rnacentral:rRNA from 1 species